ensembl:snRNA U6 U6 spliceosomal RNA
GUGCUCGCUUCAGCAGCACAUAUACUAAAAAAAUUGGAACAAUGUAAAGAAGAUUAGCAUGGCCCCUGCACAAGGAUGACAUGCAAAUUCGUGAAGUGUUCCAUAUUUUU